rnacentral:sRNA from 1 species
GCUAAAGGAACGAAGGAUAAAUGCGUCACGUCCUGUGACAACGCCUUCGUGACCAACAUAUGUUGG